CGGUGCGUGCGGCGUCCGUUUCAGCGGGACGGGACAGCGAGAGGGAGCGCGAGCUUCUGUUCUUCUUUGCAGCAACUCUCUUGAUGGGAAAGCCUCUAGCAGUCAGUCCUAGGGUUGUCUCCUCCCUGAAGCCUUUACAAACUUUAGCAUUUUAGCAGGUAAACCCAAAUGUAAACACUUGCCUAAUUUUUAUUUUAAAUUUUCUUUCUAAACCUGUUGCUAUGGUUUGCCUUUGGCUUGUGUACAAAUGUCCAGUCUGUAAGCAGAAAACCUUUUAGUCACUGGAGGUAAAUAUCUCUUGAACAGUUCCAUAAAUAAUCCUCAUUUUAUGUUGGAGAUAAUGACCAGGUUGGGCUCUCUUGAGCUGUGUUUUGUCCUUCUCCUCAGCUUGCAGGAUGGCUUUGCUUCCUCAGCAGAGAGCAGCUCUUGCCAAAGGCUUGGCUGGACCUGUGCUUGCUUCUGCAUCAUGUAAUAUCUGUAUUGUGAAGGAUGUUAAAAGGGGAUAAGCUUGGUGUGUGAGGAGAAUUAUUUCUGAGCAUAGGCAUCUUUUUUAUCUAGUAUAUCAGAGCUAGGGUUAUGAUGAGGUACAGAAGCCAUCCCAGAACAAAUCCUAGUGUCAAGAAAUGCUGUCUAGGAAUGAGAAAGAGCCAACUUCACAUAACACUGCAGAAAACCUCCACUGGGGUCAUCCAGUCAGAGAGAGAGAGCUCAUUCCAUGAUUUCACAUCUUGUUCUUGGGCCUUAAAGUGCCAUCACUGCAACAAGCCCUGUGCAGAUGGGCAGAUUUCCUGAAGAGGGACCUAAGAACAUCCUGGGAGUACCAGAAGAAGGCUUACACCUGACGGCUGUAGGAGCAGAAUGGUCAAUUUUUUUUUCUUUUUGUUCAAAGUAGUAUUUGACAAUCUGUCUAGCCUGUGAAAAAGAUCUAAAUGACUCCAGCUGUCUUCUCAGAAUAGAUUCUGCAGAGCUCCAAUGAGAAUGGGUUAGCACAGGUAUAUGAGAGAGCUUUAUAACCAAGAUGGAUUGGAGAUUUCCAUGAAUAAUUGAUUGGCCAUACCUGCUUUCAAGAGGCAGCACCACCACAUCUCCUGAGGCCGGGAACCAGGAAAGAAAGAGACUAAAAAGAAGCUACACGUAGCACUGGAUCUUUAAAUGACCUUUGAUAUCUAGGAGACUACAGAAAUUAAUUCUGGUUUUGGAGACCAAAUGUUCUGAGCGUGUACAUAGAAGAUACUUUCAGUUGUUAAAAUGCUUAAAAGUUUUUGGUGGAAGGGGCCAUUCUCAGUGCUUUAAACAGCCAAAAUACCAGAACAGAUCCAGGGGCUCAGAACAAAACUUCAUCUGGUCUACAGUCUUGUUUUGGUCAUUGACUUACAGAGAAUGAAUGUCCUAGACCAGACACUCAUGAGAAUCACAUUUGGAAAUUCAGGCAUCCAGGACUUCAAACAUUCUCAGCAGAGGACUUGGAUUUAUGAGUCAUGUUCAUCUGAUCAAAUAUAUGAUUCAAACAUGAAUUUUUUAAAAAACCAAAGGAUACAGCUUGGCUUUACCUUUGGUUUCUGCUUUUAGAAGUUUUUCAGAUGGCUCUGCUGACCUUGGAAUUCCCUUUGUACAAGUUCAGCCCUGAAAAUGAAGUCAGAUGUGCAGUGCCCUGCCUGGCUGUGGUUGUAGUAAAAUUUUGUGAUGUUCUAAGGCAGGUUUAGUCAUCUUUGUCUAAGUAGUGCCCAGAGCUGUAUCUACUAUUUUAGAAUCAGACAUAAACAAGUGUAUUCUCUGUCUAUAAAUGGACAGGGGUAUUACAUGAACAACAGCUUGUGGUGAUUCACAUGGGAAUCAACUGGAUGUUUCUGCCAGAGUAAUUCACCUGGAGAGAUGACUGCUUCCAUUCACUUCCUUUCUUGGAAGCAGGCUGAGAAUAACAAACUGUUCCGAUAACAUCAGCCUGAUUCCAGUCAACAUAUUUCCUACUGAGAGGCAGGGCAGGCCCCACCCUGCUGCAUGACAGGCAGUAAUUGGGCCUAGAAAUGUGACUCAUAACUCUGACACUUUGCCUCGGAGUUAGGUGUCAGCAGCAGCCAGUUGUCACAAAGCCCUGUUUGAAACAGUGAUGCCAAACCUUCUCUCCAGCAGUUCAGUGUUCACCUCUCACUUCUUGGGGCUCUGAAAAGCCUCAGUCUCAGCUGUGUGUUUCUAUUAGAUGGCUGCAGGAUUUAAAAUCAGAGUUUCCCUCUGUCUUGCUGCUGUUUCUCUUGCUGCAAACUAAACAUUCAGUGCAUCCAGGGCACUUCAUGGUAGUCAGUGUGCCCACAAAGGGAGGACAGGCCUCAUUUUAGACCACCUUUAUUUGCUGAAGCAGACACUGCUGUAGCCUUAUCCUCUCUUCUUCCAGCUCUAUAAACACUAGGCCAUUAAAUGUUUAAUGGUUUUGGGUUUAUUCAAUGUUUAACUAUUUCAUGCUAAAUGGAAAAGUCAUGGAAAGGAAGAAAGGCACUGUCUAUCAAUCAUAUAAUUGCAGUAUUAAUAACAAGAAGCUGUGACUACAUGAUCUCAGCUUCUAACUUAGACAACAACAUUAGACAAAUAACUCUGGAUCUGUCUGGUUUAUUAUCUUGUCUCCAGCAAUAUCAAACAGCAGAAAUCUAGGGAAAAGGACAGGUAGAGAGAGACCUUUCUGAAAACAUGCUCUUCAUUUCCAGAAAAUGGUAGCUCAUGUCUUCCCCAGUUAGAGGUGGUAUCACAUCAUUCCCCAUUCAUCUCCAUUAUUGAGGCUAGUCAUUUUUUUUAGGCCAUGCAAACUCUUGGCAUGCAUAACAUUCUGUAGCAAGGGUUUCCAGUGCAGGCAUGGUAUUUUGGAGCCUGUCCCUUGUUUGUUUCAUCUGAGGAUUGUGCUGGCCCACAGCCGUAGGCUCAACCCACCCACAGUGACCUUCAUCCCCUACGAGCUGCACUGGAGUCCAAACCUGAACCAUGACUCUGAAAUUUACCUGUACAUGGAGAUGUGGGCAUGAGGGACUAAGGGGCUUGUCCAAGAUUACAUGGAGAACCACUGGAAAAAAAGGAAAACAUCUCAAGAGGACUCUGAUGAAAGCAUCCAAACUUUCCUUCAAAUGUCCUUCUCUCUGGCUUGGUAUCAGUCUUAGUGCUACAAUUUGGGCUUGCCAGAUAAUCUGCAGCAGCUUGCUGGAUCCCAGAGUGUCUGAUCUUCUCUUUUGAGCCCAUGGAGAACCAGGCUUCUGGCCAGCUAAGGAGAACAAUCCAGGCAGGCAGCCCUCUGGCCAAACUCCCUCUGGGUGUGCUAGCUUGGACAUUGAUAUUUCCCCGACACUAAGCUUUCCUCUUCAGCAUGAAUUGCUCAUUACUUGAAUUCCAUCAGGGAUUUCUUGUGUCAUGAAAGAGUGGAGAUUCUGCCUGAACACACUGAGCAGGACUGACUGCUUUCUGUGGAUGAAGCUGUUGAUGUGUGUGUGUGUGCCUGUAUCUGCAGGACAUAGAUGUCAGUGUUUGCCUCUCAAUGGUGCCUCUGUUCUACAGCCAUCUGUGGAUAAAGCUGCUAUUCUGCCAUGAACAAUGACUCAUACAGGAAAGUCUUGAAGAAUUAGGCAAGAAUUAGGCAAGUUCGUCCUGAGGACUAUUGAAGAUGAGGAUCCAAUCCCAUAAAUUCUUGGAAAAACUCAGCCUUAGUUUUCCCUUGACAGCUUUAAUCUUUAAAACCUGCUCUUGCAGAUACACAUUUGCCAACAGCAGGUUGGCAGCAAACUGUCUCUGUCAGAGGACAUCACACAUCCACUGCUUGCCUCUGAGCCCUGCUCACUGUGACCAGCUUCUCCUCACUGCAUUUUCCAAAGAGCAUCUUACUGGUGACUCUUCCGUCUGCUAUAUUCUCCUGAGCCCCCACAGAUUAUUGUCUCCAGUCCCUUUUCUUGUAGAGUCACUAUUCCUGACCCCCUGCAAGCUUCACCUGGACCUGGCGCUGCCCAAAAACUCUGUGAAGGCUGUAGGGACUAUCUGGGUAUCAAAAAAAUCACAACAAUCUCUGCUUCAAAUAUCUAGUCAGGUUUGGGUACUCAGGAAAGAGCUGAAAGGAAGGAAACAACCAGAGGAUUUUAUCAGGCAGUCUCCUGUAGGCAGAUUGAAAGCAGAAGGAAGAGUUUCUGAAGAUCAAUUGCGCUUCUCCAACUAGUGGGGAAGGUUCUAGUUUGUGGCACCACUGUAGAAAGAAAAGAUUGCAGGGUUCUUAUAUUGCAGAAAGGAAACUGUCUGAGGAACGAAGAUUAAAAUGAUCAAGAAAGUUUAAAACAAAUGGACAUAUCCUCAUAAUGUAAUUAUAAGGAAAUUCCAGGUGUGUAAACCAUACAUACAAAAAAUAAACACAAUAAACACAAGUUUUCAAUUGGACUAGAAUUUAAUUAGUAAUUUUAUUCUCAGAUUUUGAAGUUUCUCUAGGUAUCAGGUCUGUGCUUCUCGACCUUUCCAGUGAAUCGAUCAGUCCUCAAGCUGCAGAGUGCAACUUCCUUCCUGCUAGGUUAGUGAGUUCAGCUGGGUCAGUGAAGAAUGUGCAUUGAAAUCCCAUCCUCCUGCUCCAAGCAGGGCUAACUUCCAAGCUGGCUAAAGUCACUCCAGGGUCUUGACCACAUGAAUCCUGGAAAUCCCAUGGAGAUUCUAAAACCUCCUUGGGCAGCCUGUCCCAAGGCUGCAGCACUCUCCUGGUAGAUGAGGCGCUCCCUUUGUUGGGAGAGGAUUUUUCUGGCUGGCAACAUGAGCCCAUUGCCUCUUGUCCUUUCACUGUGCACUUGCAGGAAAAGCUUGGAUGUGUUGGAAUUUUAUCCCCCCCUUGCAGCAGCAUCUCUGCAGUGCGAUCCCCCAGCCUUCCCUAAAUUCCCACCUCCUCUCCUCACCCAGCACAGACUCCUGCUGGUCCCGGGGCUGUGCUGGAGCCUCUCCAGCGUGUCAGCAUCCCCGUCACAAUGGGCUGUGUGUGUGUGAGAGCUGCACAGGGUGCUGCAGAUGCAGCCUGCCCCGAGGCAGGCAGAGGGAGUGACCACAUCCCUGCACUUGCUGACCACUUGCUGAUGCAGUCCCGUGACUGGUGGGUGUUGCUGCUGCAGGGGAGCACUGCUGACACAGGUCCAGCUGGUUUUCCACCAGAAUCCCAAGGCCUUCACUGCAGGGCUGCACUCUGCAGUCAGUCCCCACUCUGUCCGAAUGCAUGGAGUUGUUUUGUCACAGGUUAAAAAGAUAAAGAGGUUGUAUUUAUCACAGAGCAAAUAUAUGAGGUGAAUUAAACCAAAUUUAUCAUGGGCUUGGAGGGUCAAACCCUGAGUCCUCUUGUGCUGAUGCUAAUACAAGUACAGAUCAAGAGUGGCACAUGGGAGCAGCAUUUCAACCUGAAAAUUGGGGUUUUCUGCAGAAAGUUCUUAUGUCAGUCACAGAUUUAAGCAAGGGGCUGUUAGCUCUCAGCACGAGUUACUCUUUUCCUACAGGCCUGAAAGAGAAUCUUGUAGGGCCCUGGAAUGAAUCCCACUUCUCUCCAUUCCCCCAGGACCUCAAAGGAGGAGCAGGCACCAUGCCUAGAGGGGAUGAGCUCCGUGUGUGCAUGGUGUGGUUUUAAAUCAGCAUUUUAAUCCUCCCUUUGAUUAAAAACCCUCCUUUGCAGAUAGGCAAAGUUGCAAGAAUUAUCCAGGCCAACUAGCAAGAAUUAUCCUUCGGAUACAUUGAUAUGGGACACAGCUCCAUCUCCCUUAAUCAGCUACUUUCUUACUGUUCUAAAAUAAAGAGUCCUUUUUUAAUUUCCUAGUAGAGGAGAUAUUUAUAUUUCGUGUCACUUCCGGUUUGACUAAAUAAAAAAUAGUACAUUACUUGUUCUUAAAGAAAUAAAUAAAGUUCAUUUUAUAAACUUA